GAUUACAUCUCUUGCUCUCGCUCGGGAAACGGCUCUCCAGACCCCGUGACUCGGUGUGUUCAGUCAACUGAGACUAAGAUUUGGUGUCCUGUAACAGAUUUGAUAGCUGACUUUGUUGAGACUGAGGUGCAAACAAAGCAUGGAAUCUGAGGGGGAAAUGGCGCAGUCAAAACUGGUCUGUUCCCAACCAGCUCUAGAAGGAGCUAUUCAGAUUCAGGAACGACCCUGGGCCAAAACCUCCAGGACAUCCCACACAAGGUGCUUUCUUCCGAGUGGCCUCCUGUGAAGCCCAAAGCAGGCCCAGUCAGAGACGUGUUCUACGUCAAUAGGUCAUUUCCUGCUAACUGCCUGAGAGGAAAGGAGGCAGAAGAAUGAGAAAGAGCAAGGAAGUAGGAGAACACGCUUCAGCUCCAACCUCUCAUCCUUGAGCUUCUCGUCUGGUUCCUGGCCCUAUGCCCACUGCCAUAUCUGGAAUUCUUUAUCUGGGUCCAUGGGAAUUCCAGACUGUGGGCAAAUAAUGACUUCUGGAAAAAAACUUCCCUCCAAGUAACUCAUGGUCGCUGGUAGCGACAUGCUCCGACCCUUCCCGAGUGUUGUGUGCUGUCUCCAUCUUCCCAGUAGGGGAAAUCUAAUUGCUCACUGUGGACCCUGGCAUGGUAACACAUAUUUUGGAUGUCCCCACUUCUCUACAGCACUUCCUGGAGUCACCAGAUUUAAGCCUCUUGCACUUAAUUCCUCAAGGUAUCCCCCUAGAAAGAAACCAAUAGGUGUCUCCUUCAUUUUUGAAUCUUAAAGUUUAGACACCAAAACCUCAAGGCACAGAAUAAUAACAAUCAGAAAAAGCUGUUUUCUACCCUCAGAGCUAGGGAGCUGAGAAAGUAAAGUCCAAGCUGUCAUUACCUCCCUGCUGAAUGUUCUGAUCAAAGCAGAUAGAAAAAUAAAAUGCUGGAAAUAUGGGGGUCUCCAGUACCCGGGUGAUCUGGGAGAGAGUGAUACUGGGUGAUACUGUGGAGAGUCAGAGAGGCCCCAGGAUGCUAAAAAAAUAAACACACCUGCUUAGGAAUUCCAGGCUGAAUGCACCAGCAGCCGUGUACAGCACCAAUGAGCAAGACACCAUAGCCCCUGUGGCCCAGAACACUGUGAUAUCCAACAGCCUGGGAGGGGGGCAUCCUUGCAGCAAGGACUUGGCACAGGACACAUGGGACCUGUGACAGAGGCCAAGGUAGGUGCCAAGUGUCAUAGGAGGCCCUGUGUGCCUGACAGCUGCGUACAUCCUGGACAGUACAGCUGAUUUCGUUAUAGAUGCCGUGGUUUUGAUGAAAGUGACAGUGCCUUAUGCAAACACAUACUUUGCUGCCUUUCUUUUCUGCUCCCUUUAUUGUUAACUAGGGCUUCUUCAGCCUACCAGAAGCUGGGUGCGGGAGUGUGGGGGCGAGUGGGAGCCCGGUUAAAUGAACUCAGUCUGAAGUACAAAGUUAGUUCCACCUACUCACAA